rnacentral:rRNA from 1 species
UACCAGCACCCCCGAGUGGUCGGGACGAUUAUUGGGCCUAAAGCAUCCGUAGCCGGCCUUACAAGUCCUCCGUUAAAUCCAGCUGCUUAACAGAUGGGCUGCGGAGGAUACUAUAAGACUAGGAGGCAGGAGAGGCAAGCGGUACUCAGUGGGUAGGGGUAAAAAUCCGUUGAUCCAUUGAAGACCACCAGUGGCGAAGGCGGCUUGCCAGAAUGCGCUCGACGGUGAGGGAUGAAAGCUGGGGGAGCAAACCGG